GGCAUGUGUCCUUCCCCACCUCGACGUGUCCCGCGCGAAAAAAAUUAGCCAAAAAAAAACCAUCCCCGCAAAAAAACAGCCGCUACCCACGAAGUUCACGAACACACGUCCCACGUCUCCAUCCUCGCAACCUCCUCGCCCCGAUCCAGUAUUCCCCGUCUCCCUCCUGGUCUCCCGAGAAAAAUCGGUCGCCGCUCGUCUGCAUCAUGGCCGCGGAUGAAGCUUCUUCAUUCCCCUACAAGCUGCUAGCUCCACCUCUGCCAACACCACAGUCGCCGCUUCAAUGGGCUUGUACUCUGAGUCAGAUCACGAGUUUGAUGAGGGCCUCAACCUGGUCCGCCGUUCAUGUAUCAUCACGAGCGACGCGGUUGUGCAUAGCUCUUCUCCUACCUUGAUGCCGCUGGGAUCCACAACCCGGCGGAAAGGAGUAGCAGCGCCAUGCACAGGUUGGACCACUCCCGGAUCCGGGGCCGCUUGCACAGCCAGGACGGGCUGACCACUGUGGGCAUCUUCCUCCACCACUUGUGAUGAGUGGCCGAGCCAUGGAGCGGAGGCGACAGGGAGUAUUGACUAUCUGAUCGAGGAGGCCAAGGUGCGCAUCGUGGCCUGGGCCUCUGCAUCUCCACCGUCUCCCUUCCCCGUUAGAUUGCUUUGGUUGGAAUUGGAUCCUCAUGUAGUUUCAUGCUGAUUUGAGCUAAGCACUAGGGGUUUUUCUGCGAGGAUGUAUUCGGGAGAUAUUUUUGGGUGGCUGCUACUGGAUGCAGUUGUUGAGAGUACAAGAAGCUAUACAACCUACUGAAGGCGAGGGAUUAUGAGAUAGAGCGAAUUAAGACAAAAUUUGGGUUGCCUUUCCUCAUGACCGCAGUGCACCACUGUGUGCAUGUCACUCGGCCUCGAUUCAGUAGCAGGGGCAGAACAGCAGUGUGGCGGUGGCGAUGGGGAAUAACGUUUGACCUUAGUGACGGGUCACGGCAGCACACUGGUUCAAGAUAUGAGAAUUAGUGUUACUUCCUUUCUAUUCUUCUGCGGCUGGUGAUGGAUCUAUCAUUCUCCCUCUUAACUGUGAAUAAAUAUGGCAAAGUGGUAAUAUAAUAUACUUUUUUAUGAU